CCUACGGGUGGCAGCAGUGAGGAAUAUUGGUCAAUGGGCGGAAGCCUGAACCAGCCAAGUCGCGUGAGGGACUAAGGCCCUACGGGUCGUAAACCUCUUUUGCCGGGGAGCAAGGUCGGGGACGUGUCCCGGCCCGGAGAGUACCCGGAGAAAAAGCAUCGGCUAACUCCGUGCCAGCAGCAGCGGUAAUACGAAGGAUGCGGGCGUUAUCGGGUUUUAUUGGGUUUAAAGGUUGCGUAGUCGCGCUUUUAAGUCAGCGGUAAAAAUUCGGGGUUAAACCCCGUACUGCCGGUGAAACUGGGGGCCUUGAGUGGGCGAGAAGAAGGCGGAAUGCGUGGUGUAGCGGUGAAAUGCAUAGAUAUCACGCAGAACCCCGAUUGCGAAGGCAGCCUUCCGGCGCCCUACUGACGCUGAGGCACGAAAGUGCGGGGAUCGAACAGGAUUAGAUACCCGAGUAGUC
rnacentral:rRNA from 1 species